rnacentral:lncRNA from 1 species
UCCAUGACCGUGACGAAGUAGGCGUGCAUGAGCCCGAACGCCAUCGCCGCCUCCAGCACCGCCGCUUGCCACCCGCUCACGCAGCCCGCCAGCGCGUACUCCGGCAGAUGCUGCGUGGACGAAACAUGUGUGUUUAGUUGUCGCGUUAGUCAGCUUGCACAAUGCAAGGCGACAGUUUUAUGUAGCUUAGCUGUUUCAGUUUAUCGACGGGAACGGGAUCGAGUACACACGUACCAUCCCUCCGGUGGCGAGCCUGAGGACGAGCGCGGCGGCGACGGCGCCGAGCAGCUGCGCGGCCCAGUAGACGAGGGAGCGGACGAGGCAGAUCCGGCCGGCGAGCAGCGCGCCGAAGGUGACGGCCGGGUUGACGUGACCGCCGGAGGUGUUGGCGGCGCACGCCACGGCGGCGGCGAGCGCGAGAGCGUGCGCGAGCGCCACCACCACCAGACCGCCCACGACGCCGCCGCCCUUGUCAUGGCGGUGCAUUCUCCCUGCGUAGCGUAUGUAAGUAGUAGGCACACGUGAGAGGUUAGUUGGUUACGACGUACGUACAGCAACGUGUAUACGCAGGGUAGGUACCGAGGGAGAGCGUGGCGCCCUCAGCGGCGAAGACGAAGAUGGCGGUGGCGAGGAGCUCGGCUGCGGCGCGGCGGAGCGUGGCAGGGUCCGUGGCCGUGGCCAU